AGAAAGGUCUAAUGUUACAGUCACACAUACAGGAUAGAGCUUAGGAUAUACAGUAGCUCCGUCUGACAUUGUUAUGAAUUAUGAUCUAGGUUGCACACUCGACCUCUGAGGAUCCUAUUACAUAUGGUUCUUGGCUAGACGAUUCAGUGAUUUGUUACCUGAGACUCGCUGCGACCGGAUCAUGAAUCAGUAAGUUGUUAAAGUGGUUCUUUAGGGGGAAGAGCACUGAUGUUACACCCUGAAGCCAAAUGCUUAACCUCAUUUGCCUCAUUACAUCUUCUGCCAACAGAUAAUAUGGAAAACUCGAAGCAAGGGCCAUCAUGGAAUGCAUCAUCUGACAUCAUGUGCACUGUUCAGAAGCUUAACCUCAUUGAACAAGAGCCAGCAGAGGAGGAGAGGGUCCAGAUCAAACACAAAGCUGUAACCACACAUGAAAUGAGCGGCAAAAAGAGCAGCUACACUUCUAACGAAAGGCGGUGGGAGAAUGACCCAUUUACCCAGCAUGCCCUGGAGGGCUGAAAGGAAAAGACUGUCUUAUGGUGCCAGUAUGCAAAGUAGGUUGGAUGUGAAUGGAAGAAGGAAAGAAACAGUGAGAGGUGGCUCAGUAAACCAGGACACUUGCAGAAGAAGGUCUAGGUCAAAGCUGGCACAGUAUGAAUGGCAUCCACCCUUGGCCAUAUUUUGAGGGCAGGGCUUGUUAGGUUCACCCUCAUAUUUAUGGCCUCCCAGGAGUUGGCGUCAAGAGAGUGAAUGAUAUAUUAUCACUAAAGUACUGCUCUUGCAGAUUUUGGCAUGCGAAGGCAUUUCCCUACAAGGCUGAAUCAACCACAUACAGAAAGUAAUGAGGCAUCUCUUUAAAUUGUACUCCAGUGACAAAAAUAUCUCAUUGCUAGGUCCAUCUUUCAGCACAGUGAAGUCUGUGGUCACAGUGUAAAGCAGAGGUGAGACUCAUUUUUGGCUUUUAAUAAUAAGUGUUUAUACACUGAGUUACAUACAUGGGUCAUUGACAAGGUUUUUAAAAGUGUAAAAAACAUAAUGGAGAUAUAAUUAAUUUUGAAGUUUUAUUAAGAGUUAACAAUGAAAUUAUGUGAUUUUUUUUAAUCAAUUAACACUGCUUUUGUCAUUUUUUACAAGAUGGACAAAAUCUGUCACCAAAAAAGUCAUUUGGUUUAUCCAAAAUUUCGGUUUUACCGAAUGACACUUUUGGUUAUACCGAAUGACGAUAUUUUCAAAAAAUGCUAACAGGCUGAUAUCUAGCUAGCUAGCUAGUUAGCUUGCUAUCUAGCUAGCAAAAGAACAAACAUUUUAUAUUUACAAGUUUUUAAAAUAUUACAACAUUUUCCAUGUUUUAUAGCGGUUGUACCGAAUGACCUGAUGUUUCAGGACAUGUGUAUGAGCAAGUGAAAACAUGAAUUUUUCAAAUAGUUAAAAGAGAGUUAGUUACUUUGCUUCAUGGCCAUGUGGUCCUUUGCAGGUGUCUGAAUGAUGUCAUAUCCUGUCACAUGAUACUGACCGCAUGACUUGAUCCAAAAUCGUCCCUUUAUAUUGGUUACUCCAAAUGACAUCAAUGAAAUUCAUUUUUUCGGACAUUCUUUCUCAUAACAAAGCAACAACUUCAACACAUAAUUUUAAUAUCAUUCUGCACUACGUUGAUAUAUGAUGUUAUAAA